rnacentral:rRNA from 1 species
UACCCGCAGCACAAGUGGUGGUCAUUAUUAUUGGGCCUAAAGCGUCCGUAGCUGGCCUGUUAGAUGCCUGGGUAAAUCGAUGCGCUCAACGUAUCGAACUCCGGGUAGACCGGCAGGCUUGGGACCGGGAGAGGCGUGAGCUACUCGAGGGGUAGGGGUAAAAUCCUGUAAUCCUUCGGGGAGGACCAGUGGCGAAGGCGUCACGCUAGAACGGCUCCGACAGUGAGGGACGAAGCCCUGGGGCGCAAACCCGG